GUGCUGAGGUGGAGGGGGCAUGGGAGAUGAAGUGGGUGCUGAGGUGGGUGGAGGGGGUCAUGGGGGCUGAGGUGGAGGGGGCAUGGGAGAUGAAGUGGGUGCUGAGGUGGGUGGAGGGGGGCAUGGGGGCUCAGGUGGAGGGGGCAUGGGAGAUGAAGUGGGUGCUGAGGUGGGUGGAGGGGGCAUGGGGGCUGAGGUGGAGGAGGCAUGGGAGAUAAAGUGGG